rnacentral:rRNA from 1 species
AUACGGAGGAUGCGAGCGUUAUCCGGAUUUAUUGGGUUUAAAGGGAGCGUAGGUGGAUUGUUAAGUCAGUUGUGAAAGUUUGCGGCUCAACCGUAAAAUUGCAGUUGAAACUGGCAGUCUUGAGUACAGUAGAGGUGGGCGGAAUUCGUGGUGUAGCGGUGAAAUGCUUAGAUAUCAGGAAGAACUCCGAUUGCGAAGGCAGCUCACUAGACUGUUACUGACACUGAUGCUCGAAAGUGUGGGUAUCAAACAGGAUUAGAUACCCUGGUAGUCCACACAGUAAACGAUGAAUACUCGCUGUUUGCGAUAUACAGUAAGCGGCCAAGCGAAAGCAUUAAGUAUUCCACCUGGGGAGUACGCCGGCAACGGUGAAACUCAAAUGAAUUGACGGGG